rnacentral:rRNA from 1 species
CAGUAGCCGCGGGAACACGGAGGGUGCAAGCGUUAAUCGGAAUUACUGGGCGUAAAGCGUGCGUAGGCGGUUCGUUAAGUCUGUUGUGAAAGCCCCGGGCUCAACCUGGGAAUGGCAAUGGAUACUGGCGAGCUAGAGUGUGUCAGAGGAUGGUGGAAUUCCCGGUGUAGCGGUGAAAUGCGUAGAGAUCGGGAGGAACAUCAGUGGCGAAGGCGGCCAUCUGGGACAACACUGACGCUGAGGCACGAAAGCGUGGGGAGCAAACAGGAUUAGAUACCCCGGUAGUCCCUGUCUCUUAUAC